UGUAGCUCAGUUGGAUAGAGCGUCGGUCUCCGAAGCCGAAGGUCACGGGUUCAACUCCCGUCA
rnacentral:tRNA from 1 species